rfam:Populus trichocarpa isolate Nisqually-1 chromosome 13, whole genome shotgun sequence.
UCUAGAACUUCAUAUAUGGGUAAACUUCUGAGUAGUGUUUGAGUUGUAUUUUAGGACAAAUUCUGACUUCUCUUUUGUGGCCAAGCUUUGAAUUUGAAAACGGCAGAUUUAGGUCUUCAACUCUUCUUGAAAGUUGUAGACCUAUGUCUUAAAUUGCCAUA